rnacentral:rRNA from 1 species
UACGGAGGGUGCAAGCGUUAUCCGGAUUCACUGGGUUUAGAGGGAGCGUAGGUGGGCUGGUAAGUCAGUGGUGAAAUCUCCGGGCUUAACCCGGAACUGCCGUUGAUACUAUCAGUCUUGAAUGUUGUGGAGGUAAGCGGAAUAUGUCAUGUAGCGGUGAAAUGCUUAGAUAUGACAUAGAACACCGAUAGCGAAGGCAGCUUGCUACACAAUGAUUGACACUGAGGCUCGAAAGCGUGGGGAUCAAACAGGA